GAUGAACGCUGGCGGCGUGCCUAAUACAUGCAAGUCGAGCGAACAGACGAGGAGCUUGCUCCUCUGACGUUAGCGGCGGACGGGUGAGUAACACGUGGAUAACCUACCUAUAAGACUGGGAUAACUUCGGGAAACCGGAGCUAAUACCGGAUAAUAUAUUGAACCGCAUGGUUCAAUAGUGAAAGACGGUUUUGCUGUCACUUAUAGAUGGAUCCGCGCCGCAUUAGCUAGUUGGUAAGGUAACGGCUUACCAAGGCGACGAUGCGUAGCCGACCUGAGAGGGUGAUCGGCCACACUGGAACUGAGACACGGUCCAGACUCCUACGGGAGGCAGCAGUAGGGAAUCUUCCGCAAUGGGCGAAAGCCUGACGGAGCAACGCCGCGUGAGUGAUGAGGUCUUCGGAUCGUAAAACGCUGUUAUUAGGGAAGAACAAAUGUGUAAGUAACUAUGCACGUCUUGACGGUACCUAAUCAGAAAGCCACGGCUAACUACGU
rnacentral:rRNA from 1 species